AUGUUUUUAUCAUUUAGUUAGCUUAUUUCACAUGAAGGUUUGAGGCCCUUGACUUCAAGAAUCAUCGUAAAUAAGCGACUUUUGGUUUGAACCCUCUAUCACACUUUUUUAUUAGUGGUAUUUUCUGUUGCUCCACUAAUUCUCAUUACUUCGUUCAAUCCGGUUGUUUGGAUCAUGGAAUUAGUGUGCAUCUUUCUAUCUUUUUUUUGGUGGAAAUCUCUUCUUCUUUUGUUGCUGUUUCUAGUCUGCUCUGGUCUGCUUUGAGGGUGCGGGUCUGCUCUGCCGAUCUGCUCUAUUGAUCUGCUCUGGAGCGUGUUUCUCCGCUGCUCUGCUUUAGAGUUUCCCAGCUGAGGCUGGUUUGCUCUGGCUCUGGAGAGCAGACGUUGGCGUCUAUGGUGCUUGCUGCUCUGACAAUGUCUACUCUGACGUUGUCUGUUCUGACUUACCGCUCAGCUCUGGUGUUUGCUGCCCUGGCGUGGUCUGCUCUGGAGUUUCCUGCUCUGUCACUUUUGUGCUCUGGCUCUGCUGCUUUGCCCUGAUGCUCUGCUCUGGCUCUGGCUCUGGUCGGCUGUAAGGAUGCGGGUAUGCUCUGGCGUUUCCAGCUUUGUCGCUGCAGCUCUGCUGCUGGCGGCUCUGGCACUCUUGUGCCCUGCUCGACCGCUCUGCUCUACUACUCUGCUCUGGAGCUUGCUCUUGGCGUGGUCUGCUCUGGAGUCGCAUGCUCUGGCGUUGCCUGCUCUGUCGGCGUCUGCUCUAGCUCCGCACCUCUGGUGUUGGCUGCUCUGGCACUUCUGUGUUCGGGCUCGGCUGCUCUGCUCUGCUGCUCUACUCGGUGUAGCCGUGCCAGCGGGGUGGCUUGCUCUUCCUUUGUUGUUUUGGCUUUGCGUUGUUUGUUUUCUUUUUUGGUUUGGGUUUUGUUGUUUUUUCCACUUUUUGGGACUUUCUUUUUCAGGCCCUCUCCUUGUUUGCGCCUGUGCUCUCAAGGUUUUUUACAAAAUUCUUUUUUCAAUAAAAUUUCCAUUUCAGUAGUAAAA